rnacentral:misc_RNA from 1 species
AAUUCUCUCAACCAUGUCUUGAUCGACUAUGGCUUGGAGGUGGGGUUUGCUGGGGGUGGGCCAAUAUAAUUUGACUGUCAUCAGCUUCCCUGAAAUGCAUUAGCGAUUGGGUAGCUAGUCUUUCCGACAUGGGGGCACGGCCUUUGACGUGAUAAUGAUCGUCAUGGCUGGACUCAUUGGUAGGAAAGAUAGCCCAAUGCUUCCAAUGAUCAUUGGACCAAUCACUCGUUCCCGAAAUAACCCUCAGAGCUUGGUGGUUAUUAGUUAGUCAUAUAAGGCUGGCGAACACCGCAGAGCAAGGGGUGGUUUUCUUUUUGGACACGUGUGCAUGGUUCUCUUUGAA